UUUUGAAUUAUCCUGCUGAGGUCAUUAAUCCUCGGUACGUGAUAAAAUAUAGUAUAUCGACUCAUUUACAUCAGCCUUUAUCAUCAUGAAUGAGAAACAUCUCGGACAUCAGUUUCUUGACAUUAGAAACCACAGAUAAGAUAUACGAACGAAUUGACAAUUUUCUUAUCCCUCUUACCUUAGCGUCACCGAUUAAACAUGGCAGAAAGAGGGUUCGAAAGGCUAGAACAAGCUUCUGCAUACGCAAAGUUUCGCCCUUCUCCUCCUCAAUUCAUCACUGAUAAAAUACUGAAAUAUUUAGAAGAGAAGAUUAAUCCUCCUUAUGAACAUGUAUUGGAUGUGGGAUGUGGAACGGGGCAAAGUUCUAUUGUAUGGAAACCAUAUUUUCGUAACAUUACCGGGUGUGACAUCAGUUCCGCUCAAAUUGAAGAAGCCAGAAAGAAAAGUUCGUUUGAAAAUGUGAAUUUCAUUAUUUGUCCUUCGGAAAAAAUUCCUUUUCCCGAUAAUUCAGUUCAGAUGAUAUCUGUAGUUACAGCUCUCCAUUGGUUCGAUAUAGAAGAAUUUUUCAAAGAAGCAAAGAGAUUAUUGAUCAGAAAUGGUGUUUUAGCCGUUCAGAAUUAUCAUACAGUUAGGGUGAAAUUCGAUACAGAUGAGAAAACUUCUUUAGGAAAUGCUAUCCUGAAAGAGCUAAUGUAUGAUAAAUUACACGAAUAUAUGUCGAAAAACGUUAUAAAUUCCGUUAAUGAAUUUUCUUCUAUCAAUUUUCCGUUUUGCGAUGUUGUCAGGCAUACUGGAAUAAAAGAUAGUAUUGAAGUAACGGUGGAUUAUGUCAUCGGUUUCUUUUUCUCUUUCUCUCGCUAUCAAACUUUCAAAGAACGUCAACCAGAAAAAGCCGAAUCUGUGUUGAAACAAUUACAAGAAAGACUUUUGGAAUUGGCUGGAGGAGAAAAUGGAAAAUUUAGACUGGAGCGAAAUUGUUAUUUAAUUUUAUGUAGAAAUGUUUAAAAAAAGUAUUUAAACGAUCAUAAAUUAACACAUUUAGUUGCCAUUAUUUACAUAUAAGUUUUUGUUUUGGAGUGAAGAAAAUGUUGCUCUUGAGAGAAUGAUUACUUGAUUCGAGGAAAGUGGACAUCUGGGAGUUCGAUCGAAGUUGCAAACCUAUCACUUCCUUGCAUUUCCUACAGAUUCGCCCAUUGGACUGCAUCAGUUUCAACUUUUAGUAUUUAAUAAUUAAGAAACUUCUAAUUGCGGAUUGUAUCAAACUCAAUUUAUUCAAAAGCAACGCAUCACGAUCUCUCUUCUGAAGCAUUCUCCAAUAAAACAUGGCUCUAAUAAAAAUUCAUUCGUAC
rnacentral:misc_RNA from 1 species